rnacentral:rRNA from 1 species
CGAGUGAAGCGGCAACAGCUCAAAUUUGAAAUCUGGCCCCCUCGGGGCCCGAGUUGUAAUUUGUAGAGGAUGUUUCGGGUGUGGCUCCGGUCUAAGUUCCUUGGAACAGGACGUCAUAGAGGGUGAGAAUCCCGUAUGUGACUGGCAGCCUACGCCCAUGUGAAACUCCUUCGACGAGUCGAGUUGUUUGGGAAUGCAGCUCAAAAUGGGUGGUAAAUUUCAUCUAAAGCUAAAUAUUGGCCAGAGACCGAUAGCGCACAAGUAGAGUGAUCGAAAGAUGAAAAGCACUUUGGAAAGAGAGUUAAACAGUACGUGAAAUUGUUGAAAGGGAAGCGCUUGCAACCAGACUUGCGUGCGGCCGAUCAUCCGGUGUUCUCACCGGUGCACUCGGUCGUGCUCAGGCCAGCAUCGGUUUCGGCGGCUGGAUAAAGGCCAUGGGAAUGUAGCUUCUCUCGGGGAGUGUUAUAGCCCGUGGUGCAAUGCAGCCCGCUGGGACCGAGGACCGCGCUUCGGCUAGGAUGCUGGCGUAAUGGUUGUAAGCGACCCGUCUUGAAACACGGACCAAGGAGUCUAACAUCUAUGCGAGUGUUUGGGUGUCAAACCCAUACGCGGAAUGAAAGUGAACGGAGGUGAGAACCCUUAAGGGUGCAUCAUCGACCGAUCCUGAUGUCUUCGGAUGGAUUUGAGUAAGAGCAUAGCUGUUGGGACCCGAAAGAUGGUGAACUAUGCCUGAAUAGGGUGAAGCCAGAGGAAACUCUGGUGGAGGCUCGCAGCGGUUCUGACGUGCAAAUCGAUCGUCAAA